rnacentral:rRNA from 1 species
CCUACGGGAGGCAGCAGUGGGGGAUAUUGCACAAUGGGGGGAACUCUGAUGCAGCGACGCCGCGUGGGUGAAGAAGCGCCUCGGCGCGUAAAGCCCUGUCAGCAGGGAAGAAAAUGACGGUAACUGGAGAAGAAGCCCCGGCUCACUACGUGCCAGCAGCCGCGGUAAUACGUAGGGGGCAAGCGUUAUCCGGAUUUACUGGGUGUCAAGGGGGCGCAGACGGCGAUGCAAGCCAGGAGUGAAAGCCCGGGGCCCAACCCCGGGACUGCUCUUGGAACUGCGUGGCUGGAGUGCAGGAGGGGCAGGCGGAAUUCCUGGUGUAGCGGUGAAAUGCGUAGAUAUCAGGAGGAACACCGGUGGCGAAGGCGGCCUGCUGGACUGCAACUGACGUUGAGGCCCGAAAGCGUGGGGAGCAAACAGGAUUAGAUACCCGAGUAGUC